GACGAACGCUGGCGGCGUGCCUAAUACAUGCAAGUAGAACGCUGAAGGAGGAGCUUGCUCUUCUGGAUGAGUUGCGAACGGGUGAGUAACGCGUAGGUAACCUGCCUGGUAGCGGGGGAUAACUAUUGGAAACGAUAGCUAAUACCGCAUAAUAGUAGAUGUUGCAUGAUAUUUACUUAAAAGGUGCAAUUGCACCACUACCAGAUGGACCUGCGUUGUAUUAGCUAGUUGGUGGGGUAACGGCUCACCAAGGCGACGAUACAUAGCCGACCUGAGAGGGUGAUCGGCCACAAUGGGACUGAGACAAGGCCCAGACUCCUACGGGAGGCAGCAGUAGGGAAUCUUCGGCAAUGGACGAAAGUCUGACCGAGCAACGCUGCGGGAGUGAAGAAGGGUUUCGGAUCGUAAAGCUCUGUUGUAAGAGAAGAACGAGUGUGAGAGUGGAAAGUUCACACUGUGACGGUAUCUUACCAGAAAGGGACGGCUAACUACGUG
rnacentral:rRNA from 1 species